rnacentral:lncRNA from 1 species
AAAAAACUUAUAACCCUGUUUACAAGCUUAUUCAUAGAACUCAACAAACACAAUUUUUUACACCCAAUUUAUAGAGCAUAAAUUACAAUCAACAGUCUAAAAAAUUCCAUCAUCAAAUAACUUACCAUCAACAGUCAAAAUUAAAUCUCAUAUCACAUGUAUUAACACACACUCAACUGAAGUGAGUCAUUGACGAGUCAAUAUAGCAAGAGACAUUAGUAAGGAAAAUAAUUUUCAUUCACAUGAGCAUGUUUUUAAGACAAUAAAGUACGUCUUGCAUAUCACAAGUCUUUAACCCUAACCCUAACAGAAAGAUCUGGAGGAGCUUCACGCAGUGCACAUUUGAGUAUCAACCUUCGAAGGCAUCAAUACAGAAACCUUGAUAGCCAACAUUUCAUCAUCAAUACCUCUAUAUCUGAGGCUCAACCCUCAAAAGGAUAACAUGCAAGUUCAAACAACUCGAUCAAAAUGUAAGAUCUAAAAGAGAGAUGA